GCAGUUUUAAAAAAAAUGAUGCCUCUCAUUUUAUUGUCUGCCUUUGGUGGAUUUCCAGCACCCUGACGCGGUUGUUAUUGACCAUUUUCCCUAAUACACACGCACACGCAUGCACGCGCAUAUUUGGUUGGUUGGUUGGUUGGUUGGUCGGUUGUUUUUACAGAGAGGAAUUGACUACCUCUUUAUAUAGGACUGUGCUCACCUUCUUCUCAUUCUUUACUGUCUUUUCAGGUGAAGAAAGUGAGUCUCAAAGAAUGAAGCGAUUCGCCCUAGGUCACGCAGCUGUGACGUAGGGGAGCUAGAAUUACACUGUGGGGCUCUAUUUGUAAAUUAAAAAAGGCACUUUUAAGAAGUAUGGCUGACAUACAAUAAUUUAUACUCAUUUAAACCAUACACCCUGACAGGUUUUGACAUAUGCGUAUGCACAUUAACGCCAUCAAGAUAGUGAACAUCUCAUUGUAUGUUUCUUUAUACUCUUUCUUCCCUUCCCACAUCUCUAGGCAACCACUGAUUUACUUUCACUCUAGUUUGCAUUUCCUAGAAUUGCAUGUUGGUGCAACCACACAGAAUAUACUUUCUUUUGUCUAUCUUUUUUCACUCAGCAUAAUUUAUCCAUAUAUAUCAGCAGUUUGUUUCUUCUUAUUGUGAAAUAGUAUUCCAUCGUAUGGACAGGCGAGGGUUCGGCUAUUUUUCUGUUGAUGGAUGUUUGUAUUAUGUCCAGGUUUGGGUUAUUACAAAUAAAUCUGCAGACAUUUGUGUACAAGUCUUCGUGUGCUUUCAUUGCUCUUGGGUUAUAUUUAGGAGCAGUAUAGCUGGGUCAUACGGAAGGUGAACGUUCAGCAUUUAAAAUAAGUUUUAAUUUGGAAUAAUUUUAGAUUUACUGACGUUUCAAAGAUAGCACAGACAGUUUAGUUUCCGUUAUUAUUAGCAUCUUACAUCCCUAUCAUGCAUUUGUCAAAGUGAAGAAACGGACACUGAUACGUGACUAUUAAUUAAGCUCCAGACUUUUUCACAUUUCAGCCCUUUUCCCAGUUACACUAUCUUUCUCUUUCAGGAUCCAGUUCAGGGCACCACGUUGCAUCUAGUUGUCAAGUCUCCCCCCAGUCUCUUCUGGUCUGUUACAGUCUCUAAGCGGUUCCCUUCUCUUCAUGACCUUGGCAGUCUGGAAAAAUAGUGGCCAGUUAUCCUGUGGAAUGGGAUAGCAAGUCCUUCCAUCUGGAUUUCUGACGUUUCCUCCUCAUGAUAGAACUGGGUGCAUGAGCUUUGGGAACAACCACCGCAGAAGUGAGGUGCCCUUCUCAUGAUAUCCGGGUUUUGGCCACUGGAGUCUCUUUUAGGCUACUCCUGUGUCUUUUGUUCCUGCUGCCAUGUCCACAUGUUCAAUUUCUGGUACUACAAGAUGCCGAAAAUACAUCUACAGUCUCCGUGCCCAACCCCCAGAAUCUGUUAUUUCUUCAAGGAGAAUGGUGUUUGGAAACUAAGAUCUGGGACCUAGCAUGCUCAUUAUUGCCGGGGUGUCACUGCUUCUGGGCCUCUUGGGGGACUGAGGUAUGUGAGGUAUGUCAAAACUGACAUAGUACGUAUUUUACUAUAAAUACUAAGCUAACCAUGA